rnacentral:rRNA from 1 species
UACGUAGGGUCCGAGCGUUGUCCGGAAUUAUUGGGCGUAAAGAGCUCGUAGGCGGUUUGUCGCGUCUGCUGUGAAAUCCCGAGGCUCAACCUCGGGCCUGCAGUGGGUACGGGCAGACUGGAGUGCGGUAGGGGAGAAUGGAAUUCCUGGUGUAGCGGUGGAAUGCGCAGAUAUCAGGAGGAACACCGAUGGCGAAGGCAGCUCUCUGGGACGGUACUGACGCUGAGACGCGAAAGCGUGGGGAGCGAACAGG